rnacentral:rRNA from 1 species
UCUAGGGGCCAUACCGCCCUGAACGCGCCCGAUCUUGUCUGAUCUCGGAAGCUAAGCAGGGUCAGGCCUGGUUAGUACUUGGAUGGGAGAAAGGCGUUGUAAACAAACUGGGAAGAUGUCUUUGGAG